AGAACGAACGCUGGCGGCAUGCCUAACACAUGCAAGUCGAACGUGAUCCAGGCUUCGGCCUGGUGAAAGUGGCAGACGGGUGAGUAACGCGUGGGAACCUGCCCUGUGGUAGGGAAUAACCGUGGGAAACUGCGGCUAAUACCCUAUGAGUCCUUCGGGAGAAAGAUUUAUCGCCAUAGGAGGGGCCCGCGUCGGAUUAGGUAGUUGGUGGGGUAACGGCCUACCAAGCCUUCGAUCCGUAGCUGGUCUGAGAGGACGAUCAGCCACACUGGGACUGAGACACGGCCCAGACUCCUACGGGAGGCAGCAGUGGGGAAUCUUGCGCAAUGCGCGAAAGCGUGACGCAGCAACGCCGCGUGGGGGAAGAAGGCCUUCGGGUUGUAAACCCCUUUCAGUUGGACGAAGCUUCGGCGGUGAAUAGCCGUCUGGAGUGACGGUACUUCAGAAGAAGCCCGGCUAACUACGUGCCAGCAGCCGC
rnacentral:rRNA from 1 species